rnacentral:tRNA from 3 species
UUAAUAGAAGCUUAGAGCAUUUUACUGUUAAUAAAAUAUUAGAAUAUUUAUAUUCCUAUUAAG